rnacentral:rRNA from 1 species
AGUGAACGCUGGCGGUAGGCCUAACACAUGCAAGUCGAACGGCAGCACAGUAAGAGCUUGCUCUUACGGGUGGCGAGUGGCGGACGAGUGAGGAAUACAUCGGAAUCUACUUUUUCGUGGGGGAUAACGUAGGGAAACUUACGCUAAUACCGCAUACGACCUACGGGUGAAAGCAGGGGAUCUUCGGACCUUGCGCGACUGAAUGAGCCGAUGUCGGAUUAGCUAGUUGGCGGGGUAAAGGCCCACCAAGGCGACGAUCCGUAGCUGGUCUGAGAGGAUGAUCAGCCACACUGGAACUGAGACACGGUCCAGACUCCUACGGGAGGCAGCAGUGGGGAAUAUUGGACAAUGGGCGCAAGCCUGAUCCAGCCAUACCGCGUGGGUGAAGAAGGCCUUCGGGUUGUAAAGCCCUUUUGUUGGGAAAGAAAAGCAGCAGGUUAAUACCCCGCUGUUCUGACGGUACCCAAAGAAUAAGCACCGGCUAACUUCGUG